rnacentral:rRNA from 1 species
AGUCAACAUGCCCAAAGGGCGUGGAUAACCUCGGGAAACUGAGGAUAAACCGCGAUAGGCCAAGGUUUCUGGAAUGAGCCCUGGCCGAAAUCUAUAUGGCCUUUGGAUUGGACUGCGGCCGAUCAGGCUGUUGGUGAGGUAAUGGCCCACCAAACCUGUGACCGGUACGGGCUCUGAGAGGAGGAGCCCGGAGAUGGGUACUGAGAAAAGGACCCAGGCCCUAUGGGGCGCAGCAGGCGCGAAACCUCUGCAAUAGGCGAAAGCCUGACAGGGUUACUCUGAGUGACUUUCGCUAAGAAAGUCUUUUGACACCUCUAAAAAUGGUGUAGAAUAAGGGGUGGGCAAGCCUGGUGUCAGCCGCCGCGGUAAUACCAGCACCCCGAGUGGUCGGGACGAUUAUUGGGCCUAAAGCAUCCGUAGCCGGUUCUGCAAGUCUUCCGUUAAAUCCACCUGCUUAACAGUUGGGCUGCGGGGGAUACUACAGCGCUAGGAGGCGGGAGAGGCAAGCGGUACUUAGUGGGUAGGGGUAAAAUCCGUUGAUCCACUGAAGACCACCAGUGGCGAAGGCGGCUUGCCAGAACGCACUCGACGGUGAGGGAUGAAAGCUGGGGGAGCAAACCGGAUUAGAUACCCGGGUAGUCCCAGCUGUAAACGAUGCAGACUCGGUGAUGGACUAGCUUCAUGCUAGUCCAGUGCCGCAGGGAAGCCGUUAAGUCUGCCGCCUGGGGAGUACGGUCGCAAGACUGAAACUUAA